rnacentral:rRNA from 1 species
UCCAGACUCCUACGGGAGGCAGCAGUGGGGAAUAUUGGGCAAUGGGCGCAAGCCUGACCCAGCAACGCCGCGUGAAGGAAGAAGGCUUUCGGGUUGUAAACUUCUUUUGACAGGGAAGAGCAGAAGACGGUACCCCUUGAAUAAGCCACAGCUAACUACGUGCCAGCAGCCGCGGUAAUACGUAGGUGGCAAGCGUUGUCCGGAUUUACUGGGUGUAAAGGGCGUGCAGCCGGAGAGACAAGUCAGAUGUGAAAUCCACGGGCUCAACCCGUGAACUGCAUUUGAAACUGUUUCCCUUGAGUGUCGGAGAGGUAAUCGGAAUUCCUUGUGUAGCGGUGAAAUGCGUAGAUAUUAGGAGGAACACCAGUGGCGAAGGCGGCUUACUGGACUGUAACUGACGUUGAGGCUCGAAAGCGUGGGGAGCAGACAGGAUUAGAUACCCCGGUAGGG